rnacentral:rRNA from 1 species
GACGAACGCUGGCGGCGGGCUUAACACAUGCAAGUCGAACGGAAAGGCCCUGCUGUUUUGUGGUUCUCUAAUGGCGAACGGGUGAGUAACACGUGAGUAACCUGCCCUUGACUUUGGGAUAACUUCAGGAAACUGGGGCUAAUACCGGAUAGGAGCUCCUGCUGAAUGGUGGGGGUGGGAAAGUUUCGGCGGUUGGGGAUGGACGCGCGGCUUAUCAGCGUGUUGGGGGGGUAGUGGCGUACCAAGGCUUUGACGGGUAGCCGGCCUGAGAGGGUGACCGGGCACAUUGGGACUGAGAUACGGCCCAGACUCCUAUGGGAGGCAGUAGUGGGGAAUAUUGCACAAUGGGCGGAAGCCUGAUGAAGCAACGCCGCGUGCGGGAUGACGGCCUUCGGGUUGUAAACCGAUUUCGCCUGUGACGAAGCGUGAGUGACGGUAAUGGGUAAAGAAGCACCGGCUAACUACGUG